GAUGAACGCUGGCGGUAUGCUUAACACAUGCAAGUCGAACGGACUCUUCGGAGUUAGUGGCGGACGGGUGAGUAACGCGUGAGAAUCUGGCUUUGGGUUCGGGACAACCACUGGAAACGGUGGCUAAUACCGGAUGUGCUGAGAGGUAAAAGAGAAAUUGCCUGAAGAUGAGCUCGCGUCUGAUUAGCUAGUUGGUGAGGUAAAGGCUCACCAAGGCAGCGAUCAGUAGCUGGUCUGAGAGGAUGACCAGCCACACUGGGACUGAGACACGGCCCAGACUCCUACGGGAGGCGGCAGUGGGGAAUUUUCCGCAAUGGGCGAAAGCCUGACGGAGCAAUACCGCGUGAGGGAAGAAGGCUCUUGGGUUGUAAACCUCUUUUCUUAGGGAAGAACAAAAUGACGGUACCUAAGGAAUCAGCAUCGGCUAACUCCGUG
rnacentral:rRNA from 1 species